GGAUUGGUAGUUUAAGGGUAAAACAUCUCUCUUGUAAAGAGCAAUUCACAGUUCGAUUCUGUGCCUUUCCUCA
rnacentral:tRNA from 1 species